GGAAGCAUAAUAGUUCAGAAUGUUCAAAAUAUUGUGGAAACUAUUGAUUAGGACGUGUUUCAGGCAAGAGAAACGACAUAUACGUUGGACUGCUGAAUGAGACCUCAUGAUAGGAUCGUGUAAAAAAUGAAAACAUCUGGAUUCGUUGGUAUGAAUGCCCUUUGGACUUUGAUGAAGAACAAGUAUCAGUGAACUACCGGUAAACACCUGGAGUGCACCAUCUGUUGCAUUUGGCACAAUAGGCGAUGCUGAAUAAAGAGCGAUAAGAUUUUUUCAUACCAAGAAAAAAAAAUUGUAAUUUAAAAUUCUCAGCGAAUCGGAGAAAUAAUCCAGACAAAUGAUGAAUAAUAAAAGUUCUGCACGAGAAAGCUACCACGAAGUCAAGUGGUUAAAACGAGAAAUAAAACAUAACUUAAAUGACACUUAUUGUUAACAAAAUAUUUUUUUAUUUGUUUAUUUGGGUUCUCAUCUCAGAAUUUCAGUAGUAUUGUUUUAUUAAUCGGGUCUAGAAACAACGAUCAUACAGUAGUUAAUAUGGAGAUUCAUGUGCUUAAUUUCGUAAAGAGCUUCUGAUGGCGUUUUUUUUAUGGAUUUAUAGGAAACCGUUGAACUUUAAAAUGAGAACAUUUAAACUUGUCAAAGGUGACAUUAUUCAUACUUAUCAGGAAAUCGCCAUUUUUGAUUUAGCAACGUUACUUGAAAAUACUCCAUUUAUUUGAAAAAGAAUCUGUUUGAUUAGCAUAUUUCGUCAGUGGUUUGGGUGUUCUCAGUGUUUGGGUAUUGACCACAAACGGGUUCCAUCUCCACUAACUAAGAUAAGCGAAGUUCGU